rnacentral:miRNA from 1 species
UGCCAACGGCUCGAGGAAUGUCCU